rnacentral:rRNA from 1 species
UNNAUGGGUGCUUGCACCCAGGCGUCGAGCGGCGGACGGGUGAGUAACGCGUGAGAAUCUGCCCAUUUGUGGGGGAUAACUCGGGGAAACUCGAGCUAAUACCGCAUAAUCCCUACGGGGGAAAGCAGGGGACCUUCGGGCCUUGUGCAGAUGGAUGAGCUCGCGUCGGAUUAGCUUGUUGGUGAGGUAAAGGCUCACCAAGGCGACGAUCUGUAGCUGGUCUGAGAGGAUGAUCAGCCACACCGGGACUGAGACACGGCCCGGACUCCUACGGGAGGCAGCAGUGGGGAAUCUUGGACAAUGGGGGCAACCCUGAUCCAGCCAUGCCGCGUGUGUGAAGAAGGCCUUCGGGUUGUAAAGCACUUUCAGUAGGGAGGAAGGCUUACC